AUUGAACGCUGGCGGCAUGCCUUACACAUGCAAGUCGAACGGCAGCACGGGGCAACCUGGUGGCGAGUGGCGAACGGGUGAGUAAUGUAUCGGAACGUACCAUUCAGUGGGGGAUAACGUAGCGAAAGUUACGCUAAUACCGCAUAUUCUGUGAGCAGGAAAGCAGGGGAUCGCAAGACCUUGCGCUGAUUGAGCGGCCGAUAUCAGAUUAGCUAGUUGGUGAGGUAAAAGCUCACCAAGGCGACGAUCUGUAGCGGGUCUGAGAGGAUGUACGGCCACACUGGGACUGAGAUACGGCCCAGACUCCUACGGGAGGCAGCAGUUGGGAAUCUUAGGCAAUGGACGAAAGUCUGACCUAGCGACGCCGCGUGAGGGAAGAAGGCCUGGUUGUAACUACUGUCAUGGGGAAGGAAGUAAGUAGACGGUACCCGAACGAGGAAGCCCUCGCUAACUACGUGCCAGCAGCCGCCGGUAAUAGAGUAGUACA
rnacentral:rRNA from 1 species